AAUGAACGUUGGCGGCGUGGAUUAGGCAUGCAAGUCGAGCGAGAACCGUAGCAAUACGGGGACAGCGGCGAAAGGGAGAGGAAUACGCGGGUACCUACCCUCGGAUCUAGGAUAGCCACGGGAAACUGUGGGUAAUACCAGAUGAUGUCUUCGGACCAAAGGUGAGAUUCCGUCCGGGGAGGGGCCCACGUCCUAGUAGCUAGUUGGUGGGGUAACGGCCUACCAAGGCAAUGAUGGGUACGGGGCGUGAGAGCGUGCCCCCGCUCACUGGGACUGAGACACUGCCCAGACACCUACGGGUGGCUGCAGUCGAGGAUCUUCGGCAAUGGGCGCAAGCCUGACCGAGCGACGCCGCGUGCGGGAUGAAGGCCUUCGGGUUGUAAACCGCCGUCGGAGGGGAGGAAAUGCUUAGGGGUUCUCCCCUAGGUUUGACCUAUCCUCAGAGGAAGUACGGGCUAAGUUCGUGCCAGCAGCCGCCGUAAUAC
rnacentral:rRNA from 1 species